AAAGAAAAAAAUACAAAAGUACUAUUAAUGAAUUGAAAUAAUUUUCUAGGUUUCUGGUAGAUUUGUGUGACAAACUUUUAGGUCAUUUUUGGGCACUUUUCGAAAUAUCUCCCCUUUUAAAUCAAAUAUCUUGAAAUAUUUUAGGCAUUUUCUAUCACACCCUCAUUAGGUGAACUAGUUCUAUUUGGUAGACUACGCUGGCGAAGACUGCCUAAGUUGCGAGACUUAGAUAGGGUAAGGUUGGUAACUUCGUGGUGAAGUACUUUGUUGAACUUUGUCGAUACUGCAGCAUUCCACUGAUCAACCUUUAUCACUGAACAACCAAGUAAGUUCCUUUGUCCAUUGGUUCUGGUGCUCGUGGCUAAGGAAAUGCGUUUAAGGAGUCAAUGCAUACAAAGGUAUAAAUUGUUGACAGACCUAGAAAUCUAGUGUAUAUACAUAGUGUAAAUACUCCUUCCUUGGUGCACAAGCUUUGUAUCCAGGCUAGUAUAAGAAGGCAACGGAGGGAUGUUGCAUAUUGUGAUGAAAAAAAGACACAUGAUAAUAUGUUUUGCCCCCAAUAUGGCACUCUGCUGCAAACCGUGGCUAGUGAAAACUUGACCUUCUAGGAACACGUGUAUGUUCGAAAAAAAAGAAGGAUGUUAAUGGGUAUGAAGGUGAUAAAUGGUAAAUAGAUUUGAUAGUGGUAUGAAGAUAAGAAGUUAGCAUAAAGAAGGGAGUAUGUGGGAAAAAGAGGGACAUAUGUGUAAAAUAAGGAGUGCAUGUUGCAUGAAAUGUAAAUAGUAAGUUUGAUAGUCAUAAAAGGAUGGUCUACGAAAAUAGCAUACACGCAAAGCAGUUGUAACACCCUUCACUUGUCUCCGUUUCCAAAAUCGAAUUAUGGGAUGUUACAGUAAUAAAUAUGAACAAGAACAUGUGAAUUAAUUCAAAAUUUCAAUAAAUCAUUCACCAUAUCUCAACAUUCAAACUAAAUAUAAUUAUCAUACAAUUCCGAGCUUAAACGAGCUUAUGAAACCUCUCAAACUAAAUUGGUAUCAACUAGGGUCUUAUUAGAAAACUUAACAAAAAGUGGGAAAAAUUAAAAAAUAAGGGUCACACGGCCAUGUAUCCAGGCCGUGUGACAGACUAUGGACAUGUGUACUUGAAUCACACGACCAUGUCGCCAAGCUAUGCAACAAACUGACGUCGUGCAAGGAUGGAGUCACAGGCCGUGUCGAUAAGAUAUGUAACAAACUAGAGCCCUGUGGACCUAAAUGCAAAGUUUUCAACUAAAAUGUACAUGGAAAUGUCUUGGACCAUGUAAUAGACUAAGACCGUGUGCCAAACUUUAUUGAACAAAUGAAUAGUACCACACGAGCGUGUGACCAGCUCGUGUGACAAACUAUAAUCGUGUGAAUCCAAAACUUCCCAAUCAAUAUAGAGCACACAACCAUGUUAAAUGCCCGAGUGUGACACACGACUGUGUGUUAUCCCAUGCGUGCCAAUAGGUACCUAUAAUGCAAGUUACAAAACUAAAUUCAUAGAUAUACCAAAAGUAAGCACUUAAUCAAUCUUUAUACUUGUUCAAAAUACACAAAAGCAUACCAAAAACAUGUCAUUUUCCUAGUUCUAACUAAUAUGCCAUAAGACACCAUCACAAACAUGAAACAACACCAAAGUUCAACUCAAUUUAUGUCAAGGUAGAAAGUGACCAAACAUAAUCCAUUACACAAACCAAGUGCAUUCUUCAAUAAUCUAAUAUUGACCAAGAAUGUUAAAUCUAUAACUUAUAAGUUUAAUGCCAAAACUUCCACACAUACCAUGUAAUAUCCCGUUUUUCAGUGGUAUCAAAAACAAUGGUUUCAAGACCAUAUUUUGACAUGUGAAGUUGUGUUUUAUGGUUUAGUUAAUGUUUAUAAAGUUACACUAGGGUCAUAUUAAAUUUUGGUGAUGAAAUUUUAAUGUUUAGUUAGUCAAUUAAUUAAAAAUGAUCAAAUUGUAAAAGAUGUAAAAUUAGCUACAACUGAAUUAUAGUGAUUAGAUGGAUUAAUUAUUAUUUAAGGGAGGAUUAUAUGGAAAAUUAUUCUAUAAACAAGUUAAUGGAUGGUAAUGGGUAUUGUUUAAGCUUAAAUGAAUUUUUAUUAAAUGGUAGUAUGGUAAUUUAAUAAUUACCAUAAAAACAAAAGAUAACAAAUUAUGUUAUCAUCUUUAUUGUUUUCUUCAUCAUCGAUUGUAAUAGGGGAAAGACACCAUUUUUGGUGCUUGAAGGUUUGGCCACCAUAGCUCUGUGCAUGGGAAGGAAAAAUAGCAGAAUAGUUCUUAAACUUCUGUAAAUUCUACAAUUUAGCCAAGUUAACGGUUGUAGAUGGCUCAAAGGAUUGACAUCAAAGCUCACACUAUCCAUUUACUCUUGGUAGUUUUUAUAUUUCUUUUUGGUUGUGGCAUGUAUAAAGGUUUUGCUGUAAGAAAGUUAACAUUAGAUGUUUAUAAGAUAUGAAAAGUUAUUUAGUAUUUGUGACUAUGUUAUGUGGUGUUGAAUGGUAAAUUUUAUUAGUAUAAUUAGAAGAUAAUAGUAUGGUUGGUUA